rnacentral:sRNA from 1 species
UAAAUAUCUCCCUCUCCCAAAUACACUAAGCAAUAAAAUAGUUCUCAUAUCUGGGGAAGGUAAGAACCUUCGACAAGGUUCGCGCCGAGCGUAGCGAGACAACGACGCAAAGCGGCGGCCCGAAGGGUGAGGAACGCAGUGACGAAUAAUCCUUCCCCCACCACCA